UUUCAAAGUCAAAUUCUUGUAUUGUUGCCUUACAAGUUGGUUAAAGUAGUCAGAAUGUGUGCAAUUCACAUUGUCUGAAUAAAGUUGAAAAUUCACUCACUUGGAUCGACGAACAAAUAAUAGAUUCAAGCCAAAAAGCUUUAGAAUAAAAAGACAAAUCCUUCUUCUAGAGAGAGAGAGAAGCUCUUAUUUUCUUGAGAGAGAAAGUUUCUUUUCUGGUUUUUGUUCGCCGGGAAGGGAGGUUUCUCCGGUGGUGGUGCCUCCUAGCCUUCAUGGGCUAUGGAGUUUUUUGAUUCUCCAUUGUUUGUACCGGUGGAGGAGGUUCUUCUUGAGGCGUCCGAUGGGGUGAUAUUGUUAUCGUUCGUGUCGCCUGUGGAGUGUUUUUGGACUUUAUUUGUUAGGCUAAUUUUGAUGUUAGAUCUACGCUUAUCCAUCGGCUUCUGAGAGACGCGCCACUCAGAUGGGUCCACCAAUGUUUUCUGGUUCCGCCGUUGAUUGCUUCGGCUGUGUGGGUUACCAGUGACCGGCGUGUGACAGGGAAGUCUUCUCUUUGAGCUGCGCGUGAUGGUCACGUUCCGCCUCUUUUCGCCUUGCAAAGGUGGCGCCCGGACACAGGGAGGCCGAUCUGGUGUUUGGUAGACUCCGGCGAUGACAGUGCCCCUUCCGACGACUUGGGUUGAUUUUUCUAUUAGUUGUAUUUGUGUAUUCCCUUGUUUCUAGGUACAGUUUGCUUAUGUAUGACUCAAAUUUUAUUGGAAUUAUCUUUGUAAUGAAGGCUUGAUUGUAAUUUUAGUAAAAUUUGGAAUUCUGCA